rnacentral:misc_RNA from 1 species
UUAUUGAAAUCCACGCCUAAAAUCAGUUCGGCUCGAGGCUUGCCUCGCCAAACCUACCUACCAAUCAUACGCCAAAACCUCU